UUCGCCCUUAGAGUUUGAUCCUGGCUCAGGACGAACGCUGGCGGCGCGCCUAACACAUGCAAGUCGAACGGAGCUUAGAGAGCUUGCUUUUUAAGCUUAGUGGCGAACGGGUGAGUAACGCGUGAGUAACCUGCCCUAGAGUGGGGGACAACAGUUGGAAACGACUGCUAAUACCGCAUAAGCCCACGGUACCGCAUGGUACUGAGGGAAAAGGAUUUAUUCGCUUUAGGAUGGACUCGCGUCCAAUUAGCUAGUUGGUGAGGUAACGGCCCACCAAGGCGACGAUUGGUAGCCGGACUGAGAGGUUGAACGGCCACAUUGGGACUGAGACACGGCCCAGACUCCUACGGGAGGCAGCAGUGGGGAAUAUUGCACAAUGGGGGAAACCCUGAUGCAGCAACGCCGCGUGAAGGAAGACGGUUUUCGGAUUGUAAACUUCUGUUCUUAGUGAAGAAUAAUGACGGUAGCUAAGGAGCAAGCCACGGCUAACUACGUGCCAGCAGCCGCGGUAAUACGUAGGUGGCAAGCGUUGUCCGGAAUUACUGGGUGUAAAGGGAGCGUAGGCGGGAUGCCAAGUCAGCUGUGAAAACUAUGGGCUUAACCCGUAGACUGCAGUUGAAACUGGUAUUCUUGAGUGAAGUAGAGGUUGGCGGAAUUCCGAGUGUAGCGGUGAAAUGCGUAGAUAUUCGGAGGAACACCGGUGGCGAAGGCGGCCAACUGGGCUUUAACUGACGCUGAGGCUCGAAAGUGUGGGUAGCAAACAGGAUUAGAUACCCUGGUAGUCCACACCGUAAACGAUGAUUACUAGGUGUUGGAGGAUUGACCCCUUCAGUGCCGCAGUUAACACAAUAAGUAAUCCACCUGGGGAGUACGACCGCAAGGUUGAAACUCAAAGGAAUUGACGGGGGCCCGCACAAGCAGUGGAGUAUGUGGUUUAAUUCGACGCAACGCGAAGAACCUUACCAAGUCUUGACAUCCUGCGACGAUGCCGGAAACAGUAUUUUCCUUCGGGACGCAGAGACAGGUGGUGCAUGGUUGUCGUCAGCUCGUGUCGUGAGAUGUUGGGUUAAGUCCCGCAACGAGCGCAACCCUUACUGUCAGUUACUACGCAAGAGGACUCUGGCAGGACUGCCGUUGACAAAACGGAGGAAGGUGGGGAUGACGUCAAAUCAUCAUGCCCUUUAUGACUUGGGCUACACACGUACUACAAUGGCGUUAAACAAAGAGAAGCAAGACCGCGAGGUGGAGCAAAACUCAGAAACAACGUCCCAGUUCGGACUGCAGGCUGCAACCCGCCUGCGUGAAGCCGGAAUUGCUAGUAAUCGCGGAUCAGCAUGCCGCGGUGAAUACGAUCCCGGGCCUUGCACACACCGCCCGUCA
rnacentral:rRNA from 1 species